rnacentral:rRNA from 1 species
UACGGGGGGAGCAAGCGUUGUUCGGAUUUACUGGGCGUAAAGGGCGCGUAGGCGGCCACCGCAAGUCAGUUGUGAAAGCUCUGGGCUUAACCCAGAAAGGUCAGCUGAUACUGCGGGGCUAGAGUGCAGAAGGGGCAACUGGAAUUCUCGGUGUAGCGGUGAAAUGCGUAGAUAUCGCCUGGAACGCCGACGGUGAAAACAGCUCGCUGGGGGUGUGCCGACGCUGAGACGCGAAAGCCAGGGGAGCGAACGGG